GCCUGGGUGGCUCAGUCGGUUAAGCGUCCGACUUAGGCUCGGGUCAUGGUCUCACAGUUUGUGAGUUCGAGCCCCGCACUGGGCU
rnacentral:tRNA from 1 species